rnacentral:rRNA from 1 species
UACAGAGGUCUCAAGCGUUGUUCGGAUUCAUUGGGCGUAAAGGGUGCGUAGGCGGCGCGGUAAGUCGGGUGUGAAAUCUCGGAGCUUAACUCCGAAACUGCAUUCGAUACUGCCGUGCUUGAGGACUGGAGAGGAGACUGGAAUUUACGGUGUAGCGGUGAAAUGCGUAGAUAUCGUAAGGAAGACCAGUGGCGAAGGCAGGUCUCUGGGCUGACACUGACGCUGAGGAGCGAAAGCGUGGGGAGCGAACAGG